AACAGUUCUCAAACGAUCACCGAAGUUAAGGAACGUCGAGCCUGAGUAAUAACGAGAUGGGUGACCGCUUGGGAAUACCAGGUGCUGUAA